GAUGAACGCUUGCGGGAGGCCUAACACAUGCAAGCCGAGCGGUAUUGUUUCUUCGGAAAUGAGAGAGCGGCGUACGGGUGCGGAACACGUGUGCAACCUGCCUUUAUCUGGGGGAUAGCCUUUCGAAAGGAAGAUUAAUACUCCAUAAUAUAUUGAACGGCAUCGUUUAAUAUUGAAAGCUCCGGCGGAUAGAGAUGGGCACGCGCAAGAUUAGCUAGUUGGUGAGGUAACGGCUCACCAAGGCGAUGAUCUUUAGGGGGCCUGAGAGGGUGAUCCCCCACACUGGUACUGAGACACGGACCAGACUCCUACGGGAGGCAGCAGUGAGGAAUAUUGGUCAAUGGGUGCAAGCCUGAACCAGCCAUCCCGCGUGAAGGACGACUGCCCUAUGGGUUGUAAACUUCUUUUGUAUAGGGAUAAACCUACCCUCGUGAGGGUAGCUGAAGGUACUAUACGAAUAAGCACCGGCUAACUCCGUGCCAGCAGCCGCGGUAAUACGGAGGGUGCAAGCGUUAUCCGGAUUUAUUGGGUUUAAAGGGUCCGUAGGCGGACUUAUAAGUCAGUGGUGAAAGCCUGUCGCUUAACGAUAGAACUGCCAUUGAUACUGUAAGUCUUGAGUAUAUUUGAGGUAGCUGGAAUAAGUAGUGUAGCGGUGAAAUGCAUAGAUAUUACUUAGAACACCAAUUGCGAAGGCGGGUUACCAAGAUAUAACUGACGCUGAGGGACGAGAGCGUGGGGAGCGAACAGGAUUAGAUACCCUGGUAGUCCACGCCGUAAACGAUGCUAACUCGUUUUUGGGCUUUAGGGUUCAGAGACCAAGCGAAAGUGAUAAGUUAGCCACCUGGGGAGUACGCUCGCAAGAGUGAAACUCAAAGGAAUUGACGGGGGCCCGCACAAGCGGUGGAUUAUGUGGUUUAAUUCGAUGAUACGCGAGGAACCUUACCAAGACUUAAAUGGGAAUUGACAGCUUUAGAAAUAGAGCUUUCUUCGGACAAUUUUCAAGGUGCUGCAUGGUUGUCGUCAGCUCGUGCCGUGAGGUGUUAGGUUAAGUCCUGCAACGAGCGCAACCCCUGUCACUAGUUGCCAUCAUUCAGUUGGGGACUCUAGUGAGACUGCCUACGCAAGUAGAGAGGAAGGUGGGGAUGACGUCAAAUCAUCACGGCCCUUACGUCUUGGGCCACACACGUAAUACAAUGGCCGGUACAGAGGGCAGCUACACAGCGAUGUGAUGCAAAUCUCGAAAGCCGGUCUCAGUUCGGAUUGGAGUCUGCAACUCGACUCUAUGAAGCUGGAAUCGCUAGUAAUCGCGCAUCAGCCAUGGCGCGGUGAAUACGUUCCCGGGCCU
rnacentral:rRNA from 1 species